UACGUAGGGAGCAAGCGUUGUCCGGAAUCAUUGGGCGUAAAGCGCGCGUAGGUGGCCUCAUAAGUCCGCUGUGAAAGUCAAAGGCUCAACCUUUGAAAGCCGGUGGAUACUGUGGGGCUAGAGUACGGAAGAGGCAAGUGGAAUUCCUGGUGUAGCGGUGAAAUGCGCAGAUAUCAGGAGGAACACCGGUGGCGAAGGCGGGUCUCUGGGCCGUAACUGACGCUGAGGAGCGAAAGCAUGGGGAGCGAACAGG
rnacentral:rRNA from 1 species